rnacentral:rRNA from 1 species
GAUGAACGCUGGCGGCGUGCCUAUUACAUGCAAGUCGAGCGAACGGACGAGAAGCUUGCUUCUCUGAUGUUAGCGGCGGACGGGUGAGUAACACGUGGAUAACCUACCUAUAAGACUGGGAUAACUUCGGGAAACCGGAGCUAAUACCGGAUGAUAUUUUGAACCGCAUGGUUCAAAAGUGAAAGACGGUCUUGCUGUCACUUAUAGAUGGAUCCGCGCUGCAUUAGCUAGUUGGUAAGGUAACGGCUUACCAAGGCAACGAUGCAUAGCCGACCUGAGAGGGUGAUCGGCCACACUGGAACUGAGACACGGUCCAGACUCCUACGGGAGGCAGCAGUAGGGAAUCUUCCGCAAUGGGCGAAAGCCUGACGGAGCAACGCCGCGUGAGUGAUGAAGGUCUUCGGAUCGUAAAACUCUGUUAUUAGGGAAGAACAUAUGUGUAAGUAACUGUGCACAUCUUGACGGUACCUAAUCAGAAAGCCACGGCUAACUACGUG